rnacentral:rRNA from 1 species
CUUCUGCCACCGAAUACAUUAGCAUGGGAUAAUGGAAUAGGACCCUGUCCUCCUAUUUUGCGUGUUGGUUUUCGAGGACCGGGUAAUGAUUAAUAGGGAUAGUUGGGGGCAUUAAUAUUUAAUUGUCAGAGGUGAAAUUCUUGGAUUUAUGAAAGAUUGACUUCUGCGAAAGCAUCUGCCAAGGAUGUUUUCAUUAAUCAAGAACGAAAGUUAGGGGAUCGAAGACGAUCAGAUACCGUCGUAGUCUUAACCAUAAACGAUGCCGACCAGCGAUUAGGAGACGUUGAAUACAAAACACCACCGUUGGGUCGGCCGUCCUUGGCCGUCGUGCGCGGCGACGCGCGCGGCGGCGAGGGCGGUGUCUGCCCGACGGCCCGGUGAAUGACUCCCCUAG